UCAAGUCGAGCGAAUGGAUUAAGAGCUUGCUCUUAUGAAGUUAGCGGCGGACGGGUGAGUAACACGUGGGUAACCUGCCCAUAAGACUGGGAUAACUCCGGGAAACCGGGGCUAAUACCGGAUAACAUUUUGAACCGCAUGGUUCGAAAUUGAAAGGCGGCUUCGGCUGUCACUUAUGGAUGGACCCGCGUCGCAUUAGCUAGUUGGUGAGGUAACGGCUCACCAAGGCAACGAUGCGUAGCCGACCUGAGAGGGUGAUCGGCCACACUGGGACUGAGACACGGCCCAGACUCCUACGGGAGGCAGCAGUAGGGAAUCUUCCGCAAUGGACGAAAGUCUGACGGAGCAACGCCGCGUGAGUGAUGAAGGCUUUCGGGUCGUAAAACUCUGUUGUUAGGGAAGAACAAGUGCUAGUUGAAUAAGCUGGCACCUUGACGGUACCUAACCAGAAAGCCACGGCUAACUACGUGCCACCAGCCGCGGUAAUACGUAGGUGGCAAGCGUUAUCCGGGAUUAUUGGGCGUAAAGCGCGCGCAGGGUGGUUUCUUAAGCCUGAUGUGAAC
rnacentral:rRNA from 1 species